AACAACAGGGAUUGCCUCAGUAACGGCGAAGUGAAGCGGCAACAGCUCAAAUUUGAAAUCUGGCCUCUUUGGGGUCCGNAGUUGUAAUUUGUAGAGGAUGUUUCGGGCACCGCUCCGGUUUAAAUUUCUUGGAACAGAAUGUCAAAGAGGGUGAGAACCCCGUCUUGGACCGGCAGUAGGGCCCAUGUGAAACUCCUUCGACGAGUCGAGUUGUUUGGGAAUGCAGCUCAAAAUGGGUGGUAAAUUUCAUCUAAAGCUAAAUAUUGGCCAGAGACCGAUAGCGCACAAGUAGAGUGAUCGAAAGAUGAAAAGCACUUUGAAAAGAGAGUUAAACAGUACGUGAAAUUGUUGAAAGGGAAGCGCUUGCAACCAGACUUGCGCGCGGCGGUUCCCCCUUCCUUUUGGUUGGGUUAUUCCGCCGUGUCCAGGCCAACAUCGGUUCUGGGGGUCGGUUAAAGGCCUGGGGAAUGUAUCUACCCUUCGGGCGUAGACUUAUAGCCCCGGGUGUCAUGCGACCUCCCGGGACCGAGGAACGCGCUUCGGCUCGGAUGUUGGCGUAAUGGUUGUCAGCGACCCGUCUUGAAACACGGACCAAGGAGUCUAACAUCUAUGCGAGUGUUUGGGUGUCAAACCCGGAACGCGGAAUGAAAGUGAACGGAGGUAGGAAGCUUCGGCUGCACUAUCGACCGAUCCUGAUGUCUUCGGAUGGAUUUGAGUAAGAGCAUAGCUGUUGGGACCCGAAAGAUGGUGAACUAUGCCUGAAUAGGGUGAAGCCAGAGGAAACUCUGGUGGAGGCUCGCAGCGGUUCUGACGUGCAAAUCGAUCGUCAAAUUUGGGUAUAGGGGCGAAAGACUAAUCGAACCAUUAAAAAGUUACCGGUGGUUAAGUGUAACCGUGAAAGCGGUUGCAAGUGCCAGGUUCUGGCGCGACACUGUCAAAUUGCGGGGACUCCCUAAAGCUUCCGACGACCGCCUCGCCCACGAAAGUGGGAGUGAGGCACCAGGUUAAUGGCCUCGGGUAUGGUAAAACUGUCGAAGAUGUAACAAUGGGUAAUCUGCAGCCAAGUCCUACGGGCCCCCCCUAAAAGGGGCCUACGGAUGCAGUUCACAGACUAAAUGGCAGUGGGCUCUCGAGUAAGCAGGGCUUAAGAUAUAGUCGGUCCCCUGGGGAAACCCAGGCGCAUACGCUAAAUCUGGAGUGAGGAACCCCCUCUGCGGUCACUCCAGACCUGAACGGUGCGGGCGCCCCUGUGUGUUGAAGGCGGCGUCGGA
rnacentral:rRNA from 1 species